UUGUUCUAUCUGUGAUUUUACUGUGGUGACCUCUUUGUUGCCUAUCUACCCUGAACCUCUGUUUUCCACCCCUGCUUGCGAUCAGAGAUGCCGGGGUUGGAUUCAUCGCCUAGCGUUGACAAAACUGUGGAAAACAUUGGAAGACUCCCACCAGAUUUAUUGGCAGAAACAGUAAGGACAUCCUGUAUCUGUCAUUUCUCUUGGCAUUAAUUGAGAAAGAUGAGACGCUUGAAAUAGUACCACGUAUUUUUCAGCACUACUGAUUGGAGUGAUAGGCCAAUCCAGAGCCAUAUACACUGAGAAUACCAUUCCUUUUUAAAAACACAUUUCUGGUAUUGAGUUGCCCUCAGAACAGCCUCAAUUCGUCAGGGACUCCACCAGUUAUCAAAAGCGUCCCACAGGGAUGCUGUUGAUUCCAAUGCUUCCCACAGGGAUUUUGAGUGAUGGAUCAUUCUUGAUGCAACUGCUGCACAUAAAAAACCCAGCAGCGUUGCAGUUCUUGACACAAACUGAUGCAGCUGGAACCUACUAUCAUACCCUGUUCAAAAGAACUUACAUUUUUGUUGCCUUACCCAUUCACCCUCUGAAUGGCAAACAUACACAAUCCAUGUCUCAAGGCUUAAAAAUCCUUCUUUAACCUGUUUCCUCCCUUUCGUCUACACUGAUUUGAAGGGGAAUUAAUAAGUGACAUCAAUACGGGAUCAUAGCUUUUACCUGGUUGGUCUGUCAUGGAAAGUGCUGGUGUUCUUAAUGUUUUGUAUACUCAGAGUUAGGCCAGGCCACCAUGUACGCACCCAUAUAGAACUUAAUUCUCGAAAUGUUGGUGACGUAAUAACACGAGAGCAACUCUGACAGGAGACAGGGUCAAGGCUAGAAGGGUUUCCAGCUUUUGUCAAAUUAACAUCAAAAGUUUUUAUAUUUUGUGUUUUAGCUAAACCUUUUCCAAACCUUAACCGAACUCCUAACCUGCUACUAAAAGUCAAAUCUGAUGUAAAUUUGACAAACUGGAUUCCUUCUAUGAAAUGACCCGCUGUAAACAAGCAAAACAGAGCAGUGAAUUCAAGACGUUUUUAUUGAUUAGCAUUCGGGAUAAUGGGUAUCCAAGUCUUUAAUGUGUUGUAGUGUCACUGGAAUUCUUCAUAGGUUGAAGAACAGAAACAGAACAACACAGAAGGAUUAAUUAUCACUUAACAACUGCUAUGGAGGAGAAAUUGUCACUCUCAGAACGUUCAACCGCAUUGGCAUAACUCCUCUCUCAUAUAUAUAUAUAUAUAUACACACAUAUAUAUAUAUGUA
ensembl:lncRNA